rnacentral:misc_RNA from 1 species
UUUCCGUAGGUGAACCUGCGGAAGGAUCAUUAUUGAAAAAGACAAGACGCCCCGUUUUUUCGUAAAAUGGGUUCAAUACCCACAACCGUGUAUACCUUACCUUUUGUUGCUUUGGCAGGCCGCCUCCGGGCGUUGGCUUCGGCUGACAGCGCCUGCCAGGGGACCCAAACUCUGUGUUUAGUGAUGUCUGAGUAAUAUAUAAUAUUUUAAAACUUUCAACAACGGAUCUCUUGGUUCUG